rnacentral:rRNA from 1 species
GACGAACGCUGGCGGCGUGCCUAAUACAUGCAAGUAGAACGCUGAAGGAGGAGCUUGCUUCUCUGGAUGAGUUGCGAACGGGUGAGUAACGCGUAGGUAACCUGCCUGGUAGCGGGGGAUAACUAUUGGAAACGAUAGCUAAUACCGCAUAAUAGUAGAUGUUGCAUGACAUUUGCUUAAAAGGUGCAAUUGCAUCACUACCAGAUGGACCUGCGUUGUAUUAGCUAGUUGGUGGGGUAACGGCUCACCAAGGCGACGAUACAUAGCCGACCUGAGAGGGUGAUCGGCUACACUGGGACUGAGACACGGCCCAGACUCCUACGGGAGGCAGCAGUAGGGAAUCUUCGGCAAUGGACGGAAGUCUGACCGAGCAACGCCGCGUGAGUGAAGAAGGGUUUCGGAUCGUAAAGCUCUGUUGUAAGAGAAGAACGAGUGUGAGAGUGGAAAGUUCACACUGUGACGGUAUCUUACCAGAAAGGGACGGCUAACUACGUG